rnacentral:lncRNA from 1 species
CAUUCCAUGAUUCACUUCACAAUAUUCAGAAACUCUCAAUACUCUUAUUUCAAAGAACAUAACAACAAAAGAAAAGAGGUAGCACCAAGCUUACCCCGGCUCACACUAUCACAGUAAUGGCGGUUUCUUCCUCUCUCUCAUCCUCCUUAUCCUACCACAAGAUACCAACUGUUACAUCUCUAAUGAAAAUUGCUUUUCCUAACUAUUCAUCCAUUUUAACUACUGAACUACCUUUCUAACAGUCAUCUAUCCCUGUUUACACUAUAAACUAAGUAUCUACAAAUCAGCAAAUAACUACUUAUUCUACAUAGCCCCACUCCUAACUGUGCAGCGUCCUCACAAACAAUCAGUUUGAAAUUGAACUGGUGACUCCUUAGCAUUUCCCAUACUCAUUGCUACUGAUUAUUAUUCUAAAGUCACUUCUUCGUCUUCCCUGUAUGAUACAUUUAUUGGGACUAUGUUCAAUCUGGCCGUUAAAUCUUCAUUAAGUGCUUCCAAUUCACGGACUUGACUUUCCAAUUACAGAAUUCGGAUGUCUUUCGCCUCUAAUUGGUAUUGUUGUUGCUUCACCUUCUGUUCCAAUUCGCCAAUUGAACCUUCAAUUGACCCUUGUGGCCAUCGAACGCUGACCAAUUCUUCUUCCAAUUUCUUUGCAACCUCCUUCAGAGUGUUGAUCUCCCUUUGCAUUUCCUCUAUUUUCACUCUGAAUUGGUCACUCAUCGUCUUCUUUUCCUGUUCCAAAGUCGCCAUCUUCGUCUGGUUCAAUUCCAAUUGUUGCUUCAUUUUCUCAACUUCGAGUUUCGAUUGAUUGAGAGAAUUGGAGAGUUCUUGUUUCUGAUGCGCCAUUCCGUGGUGAAGGCGCUCUCUUUCCUUUUCCCACACUUGCUGUUUUACUCCAAGGGCAUGCUCCAGUCUCGAAUUGGCUUCUUUGGUGGCCCUAUUCACCCGAUCUUGUUCCAACAGUUUUUGACGUUGUUCUGCCAUUUCCCUCUUACACGCCACCAAUUGCUGCUUAAAAUUCGUGUGAUCAACCAAUUCGUUUGCCGUCUACUACAAUUGGGAUAAUUGUACCAAAAAUCGCUCUUUCACACUGUUCUCCUCUGGUGUUCGAUGUUGAAUGUCCACUGGCCCAUUGUCUCGCUGAGCCAUUGGACCCCUCUCCCGAACACUGAUUGGUUCUCCCGCCUGCUGGCUUCUUUCUCCUGGUCCCCAUAGAAGUGCCAAUAAAUUGCUCCUCGGUUUUGGUAGUACUGGAGCUGCUAUCAUCUUCCCUUUCUCCGGCAACGGUUGACUCAACUCAUAAACAAUUGUAGACUGUAUAUAGUUGGAACACAAAAGCGUUGCAAUUCUAUCCGACCUGCGCUUGUAACUCAACUCUGCAUGAAUUCUGGUGGCCACGUACGCUGCCCAAUUGAACACCAUACCCUCAAAGGAGCCUAUUGUCGCAUAUAAUAAUCAUUUAGCCAUAUACGUCGUAUGUCUAUUUAAUCCCAACCUCUUCUGAACGAAGCGCAUCCACUCCAUCAAUUCUGGUGUAAGUGCAUCCGCCGUCCGCCAUCCUUGAUUCCUUUCUAGCGACGUCAUACCUCCUUUAAAAUAACUCCCCGGAUUGAAGUCUGAAGACUCUUCUGCGCCAACCGCUAACUCUCCUAUUGGUAACUGUAAUGCCUUAUGCAAGGUAUUCUCAUCAAUUCCCAAAGUCCUCCCUUUUACAACACUCGAAGCAUCCUCAGGAUCAUAGUUCGUCAAGUAUUCUUCCAAUAGUUCUACAUCGAUUGAUGGUAAAUUGUCUGCCGCUCGCAAAAAAGGAUAAAGCUGCGCACUUCUAAAGUCCUUCUGCCGCGUUGCAUUCCAACAAAUUUCUAACCGCAUGGAUUCCAUAUUUGUGAGUAUACAAAGAGAAAGCUCAUCCAUAUUACUCCUUGACCUCACCCUUCUACCCUCUUCCUCCUUCUCCGAGGCUCUCUUCACCUUCUCCCUCGACAUUAUAAAUCUCUGCGUAUUCGCACUAAUACUAUGAUUUGCCAUGAACUCUCCACUAAAAAACUAUGCUUCAACAAUUCUAGACAAAAUACUGAAGACAGCUACACAGAGUGCCCCUCUCCUAACUGUUUACCCAGUUAUGAAACAAGAAUCCCUAAUCUUGAUUGCUGAUGUUCUAAUACACUAAUCAACCGCCGUCAUUUGCCUCCGAUUAGACACUUAUGAUGGCAGGCAAGUCAUCAUGAACAGCACGUCUGCGCCCUCCAAUCUUAAUAAACCCACCCCCGGGUUUAUGUAUAAUACAGGCGUAGUCGGUUUCCAUUGAUAUGGGUUGUGAAUUUGGUUCCCGUGAAAUCUUUCAAUUGGACGGAACCAUUGGGAAAAACGGCCAAUACGCGAUAGGGUCCAUGCCACCGAAUUUGAAAUUUUUCCCGAAAAAUUGUGAAAACGGCUGUCGUACAGAACGUGCAAAAAUCAUCUAAGAAUAUUUCCAUUGACACUCGUAAAUAAUCUUGAAAGGCCUGUGUCAUCACUCUUUGAAAUGUGGCUGGUGCAUUGCAUAAUCCAAAUGGCAUCACUUUGUAUGCAAAUGUAUCCCAAUCUGUUGUAAAGGUCGUCUUGAGCUGGUCUUCCUUGGCAAUUUUUACUUGAUUGUAACCCGAAAAACCAUCCAGAAAUGAAUAACAUUCGUGUCCUGCUACGGCAUCCAAUACACUGUCCGUAAAAGGUAGAGGAAAAUAGUCCUUCUUGGUAGCAGCAUUGAAUUUCCGAAAAUCUUGACAGAUUCUAAUCUUGCCAUUUUUCUUAGGUACCAUUACCAUUGGUGAGACCCAUUCGCUAUACGGAACCGGAUAAAUGAAACCCAGGCACAAUAAUUUGUCCAAUUCCUCCUUUACCAUCAAGGAAUAUUUUGGGUUGAGACGGUAUUGUCUUUGACGAACUGGUGUAGCAUCCGGAACCAAUGUAAUACGAUGUUCACACACCGUUUCUGGAAUACCCUUCAGAUCUGCAUACGUCCAAGCAAAGGACGAUUUAUGCCGGAGGAAGAAUGCUUUUCACUGACUCAAUUCGUUACCUUGAAUACCUUUGUAUAUCUUUAUAUUCUAGGGCACGUCAGGGGUGCUUAAGUUCAGAGUCUGGAAAACAGGUUCUUCCACAGUCGCCGAUUUAAAAUCGCCUGUUGGCCCGUCGUGGUGCGAAGGAGACUGCAACUGCUAGUGACUCAUGUCUGACCGCAUUGCACUCACAUGAUUGACAUCAUAUCGGGUCAUCCAUUCGAUAAUAACAUGAUCCGAGUUAGAGGCAUUCUCCUGAUGGAGUAAAUAUUCACCGGGGCCACCACAUUGGUAGAUUCCUCCCUUGGUUGUAGAAGGGGUUUGACCUACUCCAAAUUGCGGUGAAACUAUAGCAUCGUCAUCUUCCUCAAUCGAGUGACUCUCAUUAUCCGAUGUAAAUUCUGAUUCGGGCAGUUGGGUUUCUCCGUGAUAUUGUACCGGGUACAUUUGUAGAACAAUCUGGUCACUACCUUUUCCAAUUGUCAAUGUGUCGCGGCCCCAGUCGUUCUUAGCCUUGGCUUGAUACAACCAAGGUCUGCCCAAUAAAAUGGGAUACGAUAACGUAGAACUCUGUAACCUAAAUAUAAUAUAAUCAAUUUUGUAUGUCAAUCCCGCGAUUACAGUGGCAAUAUCGUGUAAGAUUUCCAUCGGCUUAACCCGACUAUGAUCUGCCAUUCGCAAAACUAAUGUCGUAGAGAGCAAUUGCUUUAGAUCCAAGUCUUCCAUUGUAUCAGAGUUCAUUAAAUUCACACUGGAGCCACCAUCGACUUGUACCCCUGGAAUUAAAACUCCAUCGAUUGAUACAUCGAUUGUUGGUGCUCCCGGAUCUGGGUUUAAGCUAACUUCAUGUAUUUCUCUAGUAGGGGAUCUCCACCGUAUUAACGCUGAAUUCAAUGUUGAUCGAUAUUCCGGUGCUACAACCAAAAGUUGCUUCAUUGUAAUUGAAGGCUGGAUAACAUCCAAAUCCUUCAAAAUGUCAUAGGGUUGCAUAUUGUGAGUAACUCCCAAUGCUCUUUUGCGUUUCAUUGGUUUCGUUUUGACUUUAUUCGACAGCAAUUCCUUCCUCUUAGUCGACUCUUCGACCACUAAAGGUUCCUUCAAUGGGUACGAGCUUAUAUUGGGUUGUGCGGGUAUUGGGACGUGGUCAUUUGGAAUUGAUCUUGAUGUCCCCGAAAAAUUGGCAUGUGAAACUGAAGUGGGUUCCUCGUCUUGUUGAGGGCUCAAUAUUGGUAUACGUCCCAAUACUGAUAUUGGUUCGGUCCGCCUCUUGGAUGGCGCUACUGUUGUUACUUCGAUUGGGUCAUCCAGGUCCUGAAUUGGAUUCUUGCCUUUCUGUUGGCCCCUGGUAAGCACUGCGUUCACCACCUCGACGCAAUGUACUGGUGAGUCCCAUUGAACAAGACCUUUGUCCUUCGUCGGUUGGCUUGUUUGCAUCUGCUGGUCCUGAUUAUUAUAAUUAAAAGCCGCAUUGCACUGCUGAUAAGUAUGACCAGACUGCUUACAAUUUCCACAUAUUGGGGCAUAAUCAUCACUUGCUCUUGGAUUAGGACAUUCACUCGCAUAAUGUCCGAUUUAUCUGCACCAAUAGCAACGAAGUGGUCUUCUGCCAGCUCCUUCAGGGAUAUUGGAUGUCUCUACUGGUAUAUAACGGCUCGGUCUAUUCCAUGUCGGUUGAGUAAAGGAUCCUGGUUGACCCAUUGGUACUGUAGAUUCUGGCAUUGGCUUCUGCAUGGGUGAAUAUUGAUGAUAUCCUUGCUGAUUCACCCCCAAGCCAUGGGUAUUGGAUAUACCUUCUUGGUGAAAUUCAGAGUUUUGGAAAUUGGAAUAAUUCCUGUUUUGUCUAUUCGCUCGAUUUCCAUUCCAGCCGAACCUAUUAUUCGUUUGUACUUGAUUUACAUCCCACGAAGUUGGUUGAUCAUGGUAUGUUGUCCGACUUGUUGUUGUUUCCUUAAGUUCCAACAAUUGGCAGUGGUAUGCUUACCCCCACAAAAGAUACAUUGAACCAGCAUUUGGGGUGGUGAAGAACAUUCGGUUACCAAAUGACCUUGUCCCUUACAAUUGCUACACCAAACAUUGGGUCGCAUAUUGGUCGGUUUAUGCCUUUUCUCUUUAUCCUUGGCCAGAUUCACAGCCAAUUCAUCCAUUUUCUUCGUUAAUGUUAACAGCAAUGACUCAUUGGGAUCCCUUGAUACCAAUUCAUUAGUCAAUUCCUUCGUAGGUAUUGGUUUUUGAUACGCGGAAUAAGGCACAUACGGUUGUGACGAUGAUGGUAGUACAGCCUACAAUGGAACGGCAUUCACUAUUCCCUGUGGAAUUGUACCAUAAUCACUCCUUCCCGGAUAACUUUCCGAUGCGUCAUUCCAAUUUGUCAUUUGAUAACCGCCUUGCGAUGGAAUCAUCGUGGCGCCAACGGUUAAGUACUGGUCGUAAUGACAUUCCUCCCAUACUUUUGCUCGCUUAAGAGAUGCUGCAAUGGUAGCUGAUUGGGCCUCCUUUACAAACAUCUUCAAUUCUGGUGGAUGUAAUCUAUUAACCAAUAUGGACAACACAAACGAUUCCGGCAUUUGGUUAUUUGGCCAUUUCCGAAGUAUAUCUGCUACACGACCAUAAUAUGACUGUACCGCUUCCCCUGGUACCAUUCUGCUGUUCAUUAAUCUUUCUCGAAGACGUUCUUCAAAACCAAUUGGUUGGAAAUGGGCUAAAAAUGCCGUUUUCAAUGCCUCCCAAUUGAUAAAUUGACCUACAGGUUGGCGGUUAUACCACUCGAACGUUGUAUCUUUUAGUGUCGCUGGCAACCAUCUCAGCCAAAUGUCUUCUGUCCUUCUAUUAUUGGCUACACACGCCAUCAAGAAUUGAGACAAAUGUUGAUCUGGGUCCGCACUUGGCAAACCACGAAAAGUAGGUAAUGGUGCGACGCUAGUCAUACGAUCGCCCAAGGUACCCAUUUGAACUGCAAUCGGAACGGCUGGUCCUCCUACCGCCAUUGAAUUUUCUGUUCUUCUGAAAUUUGUUUUAAAAUAAUCUCUGCUUUUCCUUACUCUAAUUACCGAGCUCUCAGCGGUCCUUGCUUUACUGUUAUUUCCCGCAAAUAGUUUUAUUGGUUGACUUGCAUGUGAAAACGUCAAAUUUUGAAAUACAAUAUAGUUGCCUUUAUUGGCGACCAAUUCAUGUCAAUCUGCAGAGCCCCUAUUGCUCGUUUCAGCGGUACCCCCUACUGAAAAAUUAUCCAAUGGAGUACCAAAUACUUCUAUGCCUCAUUCUCUUUCAGUUAACAGCCUCAAGAUUUCCACUGGAAUGUUGACAAAAUUUCCCACGAGUGCUCUUGGCAGUUUUUCUAACGGUACAUAAGACUGCAGAAUUAACAGUCUGUCCGGUUCUUGAUAUGUUCGGAUGCGCAGACAAGCUUGCAACCAUGGUUUAAUCCAAUUCUGUCAAUGCUUCCUUUUAAAAUUACGUUCUUGCUCCUCUCUACGCAAGUUCCUUCCUUGCACUCUUCCCUGUCUUUCUCUCAACUGAUUUAUUUUCCUCGAUGCAAUUCUCUCGUUCUUAUUAACCAUAAUCUUUCUUCAAACACUACUGAAAUUAUCUUCUAUUGCCCAUUUUCUAACACGUUUGUAAUUAAUUCCUAACGCUCAAAGCUAUUAUCACUCCCCGACAGCGGCGCCAAAAUGUGAUUGCUCGUUUUACUUAUUCCGGAAGAAACUUCCCAAAAUAAAUCCAUAUAGGGGAAUUCGAACACGGGGAGUGACUAGUUGCUUGAGCGUUCACGUUAGGGUCACACAAUUAAUUACCUCCAAUGUAUCGUCACUAUUUCCAUUGUCUAAGCACAUAGGAAAACGAUAAUCUCUCCUUUCACCUUAUCACUCUCUUCCUUGCAACAAUUCAGUCAUACCAAUAACUGUUAUUUCCACCAAUAUAUCUUCACUCUUAUAAUCUCCAACUGUAAUACCUCAACAUCACAGCUUCAGCACACAAUUACCCUCAUUCCAAUUACUGGAAUUCUUCACACAGAACUACCAUUCACAUUACAGUGUUUCACACAACCACAGAUUCACUCUUUCUGCUGAACUACAUUCAGAUUUCAGCAUUCAAUCUCUCUUCUUCUCAUUCAAUAACAUAUAAUUCCAUUCACACUUUCAUUCCAUGAUUCACUUCACAAUAUUCAGAAACUCUCAAUACUCUUAUUUCAAAGAACAUAACAACAAAAGAAAAGAGGUAGCACCAAGCUUACCCCGGCUCACACUAUCACAGUAAUGGCGGUUUCUUCCUCUCUCUCAUCCUCCUUAUCCUACCACAAGAUACCAACUGUUACAUCUCUAAUGAAAAUUGCUUUUCCUAACUAUUCAUCCAUUUUAACUACUGAACUACCUUUCUAACAGUCAUCUAUCCCUGUUUACACUAUAAACUAAGUAUCUACAA